UUGAGGUGUUUUCUUAAGACUUUCUAUUGAAAAGAUAGUCGAUGUUGAACUUGCAGUUUUCCAGAAAUUAGCAAAUGACCAGUUCUGCCAUGCAAACCAUUGCAUUGUCAUCUCUAUAAGCAGUUAUUAGUAAGCUUUUAGAGCAUAUUGGAUUGGAGAUGGAUCUUCCAUUUAUUAGUAAGCAUUUUUUUGUUGAUUUUGAUGAGUAUAUGAAAUGGAUUACAUGAACUGUUGUAUUUUUGUGGGUGAAUGUGUCUGUAGUGAUGUCGGUGAGUUUGGUUGAUAUUAUUAUUUUAAUCCUUGAUGAAGAUGAUCGUCCUUUGGAGCUUGGUUAGUGCUGAAAUUCAGGAAUUGCUUUUGAAUUUAAGUUUUGUUUUGCACUGCUUUUGAAGUAUUAAUUUAUAUUUCAUAGUUCUGCUACCUUUAACUACUACUUCCUCAUUUGUUAUGCUGUUGAACAAAGCAAGCGGCACAUAGACUAAGGAUUAUAUUUGGAUUAUCUAGAUUGAAAGCUGCUGAGAUUCAAAUCUUUGCUUUGUAGUUAUAUAAUCAGCUUCCAAAACUAAUGCUCAGGUAGAAAAAUACUUAUUUGUAGCAGCUGUAACUAGAUAUGCAGAAUAGACAAUCUAGAUUAAUGGAUGUCAGUGGGAACUCUCAAUGGAGAUAUUUAUCUGCGGGCAUGUCCUGGUGCGUGCGGCUGUUAAUUAUGAGAAACCAAAGUCUGGGUCAAAGUAUCAAUAUGCAGAGUUCAAAUCAACAAGUUAAUUCUGAAUUAGGUGUCAUUGGUCGGGUCUAGGGGAGGUUCGAUUCGAUUAAGGAGUUGUUUGAAUGAUUGAUUGAGGGGAUUAUCAGUUGGUCGCAGCUCCUUCGCUUAUCAAAUAACGUAGCUUUGCAUCUGAAUUCUAUCGCAUCAAGUAAUAUGUAUCCUGAGGCUGAAUGUUUCGAUCGAUGUUUCGAGCCUGCUUUGAAUCAAUGUUGCAGCAUUCAGGGCAACCUUUCAUUCAUGGCAGCAAGGCAGUUUCUAACUGAUAUAUUCCAAAGAGAAGAAUCUUUCAUUAAAAGAACACAAACAAUUAGUAGAAAUGGUUUCCAAAGUCAAGGUUUCCAUUGAUAAGUUAUUUGGUGACUUGAAUAUUAAUGAUUUGAAGUCGGACUUGAAGUCUAGAACAGAAAAUUGAAGCUCUUAGAAAAUGUGGCGUCGUGCCGUUUUAUUGAAAACUUGCCUGGUCACUGAAGGAAGGGUCAGUUUCUAUUCCUUUCACAAGGUUGAACUUCCUGUUAUACCAUGAACUUUUGAUUACAAUCCUUCAUUUCCACUCUUGGAUGACAUGAAAAGGAAGUUAAGGGUUGUAAUGAUAAAAAGGCUGCAUGCAAGAAAUCCAUCAGAAAUUGUCGCGUUUGAAAUGCAGUCUCUCAAUCAGGAUUCUGAAAAGGAUUAUCAUUCUGUAUGUUAAAAACUAGAGUUUUUCUUUUUAUGAUAUUAAUUAUAGCAUUAUUUUUA